AUGAGGACAGGGUCAAAUGACUGUGGAUUUUUUGUAAUGAGUUACAUGAAGUUUUAUGAUCACAAUGCAGGUGUCAUAUCUUCUUUCAAUCAACCAGACAAUUCCCGAGACCUACGUGCUCAUGCCCUUCAUCAACUCACAUUCCAUCGCAUCAACAAGGCGUUGCCACUUCCAUUAGAUAUCCAGAGAUUUAUGUUUGCGCGCAAUUAAUGAACUAUGUCAGAACUAAGCAAUGGUGUGGGCAAUGUACCGUACUGUGGUAUUUUGGCCAUUAUUGUCAGUUAACAAUUUUAGGAAGCUUCCUUAUAUCUGCUGUUUCAGAACAAUUGUCAUGCUACUUUGUCUUAGGGGUGUUACCCAGGUUCUUUCUGUGAACUUUAGUUGGCUGGAUACUUAUGGUUA